UUAUUGUUAAUGAUGAUUUCAUAGUUCAAAUGAAACUAUUUGAUUACAGCAAAUAUAUCUUUCGCUCCUAUCUGACCUUAAUCAUUU